CUAUACAUGACUCUGCGCAUAUCAAUAAGCGGAGGAAAAGAAACUAACAAGGAUUCCCUUAGUAACGGCGAGUGAAGCGGGAAGAGCUCAAAUUUGAAAUCUUCAAGGUUUUACCUUGACGAAUUGUAGUUUAAAGAAGUGUUUUCUGCUGAAGUUUUGGUAAAAGUUCUUUGGAAUAGGACAUCAUAGAGGGUGAGAAUCCCGUAUUUGACCAUUAUUUUCAGCUUUGUGAUACACUUUCAAAGAGUCGGAUUGUUUGGGAAUGCAGUCCAAAAUGGGUGGUAAAUUUCAUCUAAAGCUAAAUAUUGGCGAGAGACCGAUAGCGAACAAGUACCGUGAGGGAAAGAUGAAAAGAACUUUGAAAAGAGAGUUAAACAGUACGUGAAAUUGUCAAAAGGGAAGCGUUUGACACCAGUGUUGUUUUUCUGAAAAUCAAUUAAAGAACUGUUUAUGCUAAGUUGUUUAGACUUUAUCAGCUAACUGUUUAGUUUUGAGCUUUUCUUUAAUGCACUUUUCAGUUAACAAGUCAACAUCAAUUUCUUUUGUUGUAAAAAAGCUUGAGGAAGGUGGCUUGAGAUUCGUCUUAAGUGUUUAUAGCCUCUUGCCUAUGCAGUCGGAGAGAUUGAGGUCUGCAGCGUAGAUCCUUCGGGGCUAAAUGCAUUUGUGCUAAGUUAUAGCAUUUUAUAGACAACUUGUUGACUAUGAUUUGUCUUGUAGCUUACUCGCUUAUGUUAUUUUACCUACGCUUAGGAUAUUGACAGCAGUAUAGACUGU
rnacentral:rRNA from 1 species